rnacentral:lncRNA from 1 species
CCAGGAAUAACAAAAAAGUACAUGUUUGAUAACGGAUGAAUUACAAGGAUACUUGAAAUCUUGAGAUAGACAAAAUCUGCAAGAGUAUAUACAUCUCGCUCGGGUAGUCUCCAGUCUUGCAUCUUCCGCUUGCACAAAAUUCACUUCUUCCAUAUUCAUAGCGAAAGGCCUCUCCUUGAUCGAGUUGCUGCAUUUAUUUGAAGGUAUCUUAACUUUGUAGAAUUAAACGCCCAAAUUUCCAGAGUUUCUUUGGCUCUAUUUGUUGGUGGGGA